rnacentral:rRNA from 1 species
CAUGUCUUUUUGGGAAUUAUUUAAAGUCUAAUCUGCCCACUGAAUUUUUAAAGGGCCGCAGUAAUUUGACUGUGCAAAGGUAGCAUAAUAAUUUGUCUCUUAAUUGGAGGCUGGAAUGAAUGAUUGGACGAGGUAAAUACUGUCUCAUUAUUAAAAUAAUAAAAAUUUAGUUUUUUAGUCAAAAAGCUAAAAUUUUUUUGGAGGACGAGAAGACCCUAUAGAUCUUUAUAUUAAUAAUUAUAUUUUUAUUUUGGAUAAAAAAUUUUAAGUAUAAUUUUUAGUAUUUUGUUGGGGUGACAUGAAAAUUAAUUUAACUUUUCAUAAAUUUAAACAUGAAUUAAUGAUUAAAUGAUCCAUUUUUAUUGAUUAUAAGAUUAAGUUACCUUAGGGAUAACAGCGUUAUUUUAUUGGAGAGUUCAUAUUGAUAAUAAAGUUUGCGACCUC